UCUCCUGUAGCUUAGUAGUAAAGCGUCCGACCUGUGUGCGGAAGGUCAUAGGUUCGACAUGUGUUUGGAGAA